UACGGAGGGUGCAAGCGUUGUCCGGAUUUAUUGGGUUUAAAGGGUGCGUAGGCGGCCCGGUAAGUCAGUGGUGAAAGCCUCCAGCUCAACUGGAGAACUGCCAUUGAUACUGCCGGGCUUGAGUACAGACGAGGUUGGCGGAAUUGAUUGUGUAGCGGUGAAAUGCAUAGAUUCAAUCAAGAACUCCGAUUGCGUAGGCAGCUAACUAGGCUGUAACUGACGCUGAGGCACGAAAGCGUGGGGAGCGAACAGG
rnacentral:rRNA from 1 species